rnacentral:lncRNA from 1 species
AUCAAGAUUCGAUGAAUUAAAGGCGUGGAAAUGAAAACGGACAAAGUGGGUCCCUUUAGUUUUAACAGGGAAAGUGUAUUUGGUUGAUUUGGUGAAAACCCUAGCGGUGUGGUAGAUGGAAGGUGAAUUGGGAAAUGGGUUUUGGUUUGUGAUGGAGAUGGAAUGGGGGGAGGUGGAAAAAGAAGAGUGUUCAGGGGUGAAAAGACGGUUGUUGAAGGUGGUGGAGAGGGUGGAGCCGGUGUUGAUGAGGUAGUUGUCGAGGGGUGAGAAGAGGUGGGAGGAGAUGGAGAUGGUGGUGAAGGAGAGGAAGACGAGGAGAGAGAAA